rfam:Triticum aestivum genome assembly, contig: Triticum_aestivum_CS42_TGACv1_scaffold_112618_2AS
AAACUACUCCCUCCGUCCGGAAAUACUUGUCGUAAAAAUGCAUAAAAAUGGAUGUAUCUAGAACUAAAAUAUGUCUAGAUACAUCCAUUCCUCCGACAAGUAUUUCUGGACGGAGGGAGUAGAAA